GAAGAGUACAACCCUGUUACAAGAAUGCCCUUCUGGAGUCACCUUAAGAAAAAAAUAAAAAAAUAAAAAAAAUCAGUAGCUGGAAUAAAAGAGCAGGACAAUGUGCCUUGUAGUGCCAGUCCACGUGGUCUGUCCUCAGGAAGCAGCAGCAGGAGAGGAGAGUGAAGCUUUGCAUUAGGGCUCUCAGAAUGAACCUGAGAGGCUGAUUAAUGGGAGGGAAGGUUGUCUUCUCUGAGAGCAAAGCCUUUUGCUGGCUAGGCUCCAGAGAAUUCUCCUAAACGAAUGAGGAAAAGCUCAUUUGUAGGUGACCUGAAACCU